CAUAAACGACUCUCGGCAACGGAUAUCUCGGCUCACGCAUCGAUGAAGAACGUAGCAAAAUGCGAUACUUGGUGUGAAUUGCAGAAUCCCGUGAACCAUCGAGUUUUUGAACGCAAGUUGCGCCCGAAGCCUUUUGGYUGAGGGCACGUCUGCCUGGGCGUCACAC
rnacentral:rRNA from 1 species